UAUGACCAUAUCACCCUGAAUGCGCCCGAUCUCGUCUGAUCUCGGAAGCUAAACAUGGUCGAGCCUGAAUAAAAUAAUGUUUGAUGCCACUCUUUCGGGGCUCAACCAGGAGCUCAGAAUAA
ensembl:rRNA 5S_rRNA 5S ribosomal RNA